AGUCACUGACAUUAGAUACCCGCGUAGUCCAGGGUGUAAACGCUGCAGACUUGGUGUUGGAGGCCCUUUGGGGGCAUUCAGUGCCGGAGAGAAGUUGUUAAGUCUGCUACUUGGGGAGUACGUCCGCAAGGAUGAAACUUAAAGAAUUGGCGGGGGAGCACCGCAACGGGAGGAGCGUGCGGUUUAAUUGGAUUCAACACCGUAAAACUCACCAGGGAAGACUGUUACAUGAAGGCCGAGAUGAAGACUCUGCUAGAUUUUC
rnacentral:rRNA from 1 species